rnacentral:rRNA from 1 species
GAUGAACGCUGACAGAAUGCUUAACACAUGCAAGUCUACUUGAACUUCGGUUUGGGUGGCGGACGGGUGAGUAACGCGUAAAGAACUUGCCUCACAGUUAGGGACAACAUUUGGAAACGAAUGCUAAUACCUGAUAUUAUGAUUUUAGGGCAUCCUAGGAUUAUGAAAGCUAUAUGUGCUGUGAGAGAGCUUUGCGUCCCAUUAGCUAGUUGGAGAGGUAACGGCUCACCAAGGCGAUGAUGGGUAGCCGGCCUGAGAGGGUGAACGGCCACAAGGGGACUGAGACACGGCCCUUACUCCUACGGGAGGCAGCAGUGGGGAAUAUUGGACAAUGGACCAAAAGUCUGAUCCAGCAAUUCUGUGUGCACGAUGACGUUUUUCGGAAUGUAAAGUGUUUUCAGUUGGGAAGAAAAAAAUGACGGUACCAACAGAAGAGGUGACGGCUAAAUACGUG